rnacentral:misc_RNA from 1 species
GUGAAAGUGAAGUUAGCUCAAAUGUAACUAUGAAAUUAAUAAUUGAAUUACAAGAACCCAAAGGUCUAAAAGAAACAUUCACAAGUCACAACAGGCAAUAUAAAAUGCUCAAGGAAAAGCCUUUAAUCAGGUUGGAUCUCCAUACACCUAAACAAAAGCUUCCUCAUGCAUACGAUGGAGCGAGGCAUUCGUCAACCAUGUCAACGAGGUUAGGGUUCUCCAAUGCUGCAGCUACGCGUUCUUUAUCAUUCAACUGCUUAUUUACUGCAGUUUCCGUAGCAUGACUCCCCGGUGCUACUCUAAUAUCGACCUUAUAACGGGAAGGCAAACUUCGCAUAAGCUUCACACGCAAGCAUAAUCCAAUAACAGUCGCCAUGCUGCAAUGUUCCACGGUAG